rnacentral:rRNA from 1 species
AUAUUGGACAAUGGGGGCAACCCUGAUCCAGCCAUGCCGCGUGUGUGAAGAAGGUCUUCGGAUUUUAAAGCACUCUAAUUGGGGAGGAAGCUCUUUAGGUAUAUACCCUGUAGUUUGUACGUAACCACCAGAACAAGCACCCGCUAACUCUGUGCUAGCAGCCGCGGUAAUACAGAGGGCGCAAGCGUUAAUCGGAAUUACUGGGCGUAAAGCGCGCGUAGGUGGUUCAGUAAGAUGGGUGUGAAAUCCCCGGGCUUAACCUGGGAACUGCUUUCAUAACUGCUGAGCUAGAGUACGGUAGAGGGUAGUGGAAUUUCCUGUGUAGAGGUGAAAUGCGUAGAUAUAGGAAGGAACACCAGUGGCGAAGGCGACUACCUGGACUGAUACUGACACUGAGGUGCGAAAGCGUGGGGAGCAAAC